rnacentral:rRNA from 1 species
ACGGGUGAGUAAUAUAUCGGAACGUGCCCAGUCGUGGGGGAUAACGUAGAGAAAUUUACGCUAAUACCGCAUACGAUCUAAGGAUGAAGGCGGGGGAUCGCAAGACCUCGCGCGAUUGGAGCGGCUGAUAUCAGAUUAGGUUGUUGGUGAGGUAAAAGCUCACCAAGCCGACGAUCUGUAGCUGGUUUGAGAGAACGACCAGCCACACUGGGACUGAGACACGGCCCAGACUCCUACGGGAGGCAGCAGUGGGGAAUUUUGGACAAUGGGCGAAAGCCUGAUCCAGCAAUGCCGCGUGCAGGAAGAAGGCCUUCGGGUUGUAAACUGCUUUUGUACGGAACGAAACGGCUCUUUCUAAUAAAGAGGGCUAAUGACGGUACCGUAAGAAUAAGCACCGGCUAACUACGUGCCAGCAGCCGCGGUAAUACGUAGGGUGCGAGCGUUAAUCGGAAUUACUGGGCGUAAAGCGUGCGCAGGCGGUUAUAUAAGACAGUUGUGAAAUCCCCGGGCUCAACCUGGGAAUUGCAUCUGUGACUGUAUAGCUAGAGUACGGUAGAGGGGGAUGGAAUUCCGCGUGUAGCAGUGAAAUGC